AUACCUCUCUGAAUCACUUUGUGUUUCCCACCCAUCUCACAGGGUUCUCCCUCCUUUCAACCAUUCCCUGUAGACCUUCCCCGAGAAUCCUGGUGUGCAGGAGGCUUGAAAGCAAAGUUGAGCAGAGCAUCCGUGCAUAUGCAGAGCUUGCAGUCCUGGGCUGGAGCACAAGACUGCAGAGCUGAGAGCUGAGGUCUUAAGAAUAAUGGGGCUGGGGAUGGCGGAGGUGACAAUCCAAUGGGGACACUGGUUAGAGAAAUUCCUCUCCAUAUGAAUGUACACACAGCCGUACAGUGGCCUGGGAGGCUGGGCUACUACUCCCUCAGCCUAAGAGAAGGUGGAGAGCCUUGAGAUUUGGGGGAUCACUGGCCUUUUGGAGACCUGGAGCUGGGCCACGUGCGGAGGGUCCUAGGGCAGUCACUCUCAGCUCACGCGUCUGACGAAGUUGCACUUCUGACACAGGCUUAUCCUUCCGUCCUCUUGGCUACAAAUAUCUGUUGGUCUGGGCGUCAGUUACUAGACACCAGCCUGAAAGAUGUGAAGUCGAGCUUCCACAUCCUUGUGGCUGCCAUGAGGAGAAAACCCAUCUGAAGGUGAUAAAGAGAAAACCCUUAGACACUGGGAGCCUGUGAGGACAGUGGCUCAGCAGCCAAGGGUGUGCUUAGCAUGGGACAGGACAGGUGGGUCUCUGACCUCAUUAUGGGGACCAGUCAGAUAGUUCCCCGAUUGUUCUCGGCUGCCUGGACCCUGGUGUGGGGAAGGAUGUUGAGCUCGGUGAGGGAUGCCAGGGAACCUCCCGAGACCGUUUCCUGGAUUCAACCCAUAUGCGGGGGAGGGGGGGGGAAUGGAAGGUGCUGGUUACCUGCUGGGUGUUCUGUUUCAGACACAUUGGGCAGAAGUAAGGGACCUGCAGCCACAGCAGAGAUGGGGCAAAAGGCCAGGGAGCCACAGGGGGCACCACCCAGAGUGGCAGCUUGACCAUAAUCUCUGGAGCAACAUUGCGAGGGUACAAAGAAUAGAACCCCAAGAAAUACACUGCACAAUGCGCCACCCGGGUCUGUGCAGGGAUCCCCCUCCGAGACUCAAGCUACUAGAAUUCUCAGGGUGGAAACCUCUCUAGUCACACUCAACAGCCAUGAGGGCUCCCUUAAACAACUGAGGAGACAGGAGAGACUGGGUAUGGAAACAGGGCAGGGCUACUACUUGAGCUCUCCAGCUGUUCCUCACAGAGACCCUAAUGGAGCUGCUGACCCAAGACUCUGGCAAAGAAGUACCUGUUGCCAAGAGCAAAUGGAUCCCAGGAGGGGCCCUGUGUGCAGCCUAAUGGUCUAGCCUGGGCUCACAUCAAGAAGAAGGGAUAUGACAAGCUUGAAGCCUCCACCCCAACCCCAUAGCCACGGCCAAAGCAGGACUGUGGCCUCGCUCCAAUCGCCGUCGCCCCAAAUCAGGUCCGCCUGAUCCGUUGAGGGUUCAGGUCUACCCUAGCCCCUCAGCCUAAAUGAGCUCCUGAGGACUGACUCCCAGACAUGGCUCCCAAUUAAAAAUACAUCGAUCGCUAGUGUGGGACAUGGCAAUUAAAUCUGUUCUCUACUCCCAACACUUUGUUGAGUUUAUCUGUGUGGCUUGGGAAAUGACCCUAGCUCACGCAGAAGGAAUUGUCCCACGUACCAGGCACUCUGCAAAUCAAUUCUAGAUCAUGAACUCUUCACAGCCAAUCUCUGUGGGUCAGGCACAGCUAAAGCAGUGCAGGAGCUAGGCUGCUGUGAAGUCUGACUGCAGAGCUGGGGCCUGGGUCUCUUCCUCCAUUCUGCCUUGCCAAUAUGGCCGCCGAUCUUCAGGCUUCACAGUCAGUUGCUGCUUUAGCCGCAUGUUCAUGUGUCCCCUCUAACAGCUGAGACAAGGGUCUUAACUCUACGGCUGAAACACACCCCACUCCCAUCCUAUCAAAACAGUUCCAGGAAACCUGGUGGAGCCUUGAAUCUGUUCUAGCUCUCCAAAAGACAGAGGUGUUUGUGUCUCACCUGUCAGCUCUGAGAAUCACGUACGUUUGUUUGUUUUUGUUUGUUUCCAGACAGGGGUAGCCCUGGCUGUCCUGGAACUCACUGUGUAGACAAGGCUAGCCUCAAACUCAGAGAUCCGCCCGCCUCUGCCUGCUGAGAGCUGGGAUUAAAGACGUGUGCCACCACACCCUGCCAGUACGGAGAAUCACAUUCUAACAAGGUCCUUACACAGUGGGGACAGGAACUCAGAGUGAAAUCCAUCCCAAAGAGCACAAGGCUGCCAUCGGGUGACGGAUACAUGAUGACUCAGGUGAACCGGAGGGAAAAACAGAGAUGGGAUGGAAUUCAGCCAGGCUUUGGAUGGGAAGAUUGAGCAAGGACCAAACUCCGUGGGAGAGUUGAACGCAGCGGACCUCGGGCUGGCAUGAGUGCACCCAAGCUUGCCACAGAGACCAAAAGAGAGAUCUCAGGGCUCUGGAGAGACAGAGCUGGUGUUUAUGGGAGAGGCAUUGGCAAGAAGAAACACCGGACUAGGAACAGACAGAGACCUCCAAUGCCAGUGCUUAGCCAGUUAGCAUGGUUUUUUUUUUUUUAACUACACACUACCAUGGGCCACCCAAUGUGUCUUUCUAGGGAAUUUUGAAACAGUCAUAAUUGAACAGGGAGGAAAUAGUUAAAAUUGAUUACGUAGCCAUAAUCUCAUUUGGUUGAAAUCUUUAUAAUUGUUACAAAGUUGAAGUUUUAAUUUUUUACAUUGGUAUAAAAUUUAUUUUGAUACAGAUUUAAUGUUUUCAUGGUAUGAGUUUCUUCUAUCGAUACAAAAAUUUAAGAAUGCAAAGCUUAGACGCAGUCCUUCUAUAACUACCAUUAGAAACUGUUUCUAGAUGAUUAAACAUGGAAGUUAAGGGCCAGAUAA